GACGGCUUGAUGCCACUCCUUUAAAGCAAAGGAAUCAGAGGGAGGGACCAGAGCUGUGACUCCCAGACUUAAUGGAGAUCCUUGUGCACCUUCUGACUCUAUGUCUGGCAGAUGGCUUCCUAUGGCCUCUCAUUUGGCUGUUGUGGAUGGCAGCUCCAUCACAAACAGAAUUUGUUCCAAGUCACAGGUGUCAUCCACUUCAAUGCAUCUGACCAGAACAACAUCCAGGAGACCACCAGACAAAUGCAAUGUCUGAAGGGAGUUGACAAACCCAUCAAGACCAGACACCCCAAGAGAAAGAGUAAGAAGAUGCCUUGGGAGACCUCAAGAUUUUAAAUCAAGCCAAGACUUUGGCGAAACAACAAGGAUACAAUAAUGCCUACCCACAAAACUGAUGUUAUGUUUACUGACUCUACUAUAUGUUACUUCUCAGCCUGCCAAGGCAUAAUCCAAAUGCCUUCUGUGAGAAAUGAUAAAAGACACAACUGUUAACAGGACACAGAAUGAUGUUGCUUACAUGCUGAGGCAACUUUCCCUCUUGUAAACAACUGUCUUUGAGAUAGAACAUUUUUGUUUGUGAAAAUGUUACUAUAUUCCCCUUUCUGUGGGUUUUAAAGGUUCAUGUGGGAGAAGCCAUAUUAUACCCAUUUUGCUUAGAAAAUGUUAGCAAUUGAUCAUUAGAAUUAAGAGAACUUCCCUAAGAAUUAUGUUGAUUUUUUUUCAAUAUAUUGGAUCCUGUAAUGGUUACAGAUAAAAUGGCCUUUUUAUUGCCUAUCCCAGUAAUAGUUACUGGAAUACCAUCUUAAAGAUAGCCUGUAUGAUAGCAAAACUACCAACACUACAGCCUUUUUCUAGCUCUUACAAUUUUUCUGCCUACUCUUCUGAGAUGUUCCCUGAGCCACAGAUGCAGGAGCUAUGAUGUAGAUGUAUCUAUUGGGAUGAGGUUCUCCAUGAUCUGAUUUUCACAUGUGUCCAGCUGUGGUUUUCAGUGAUGGUCUCCUUUUUCUCUAAAGAGAAUUUUUUCAAUGAGGGGUGAUAGAUACACUUAUCUGAGGGUAUCAUUUUGUAUUAUGAAAUUAAUAUAUUUGGGGAAGCAGGUGGAACAUUGAUGUAAAAGUCCAGUGUUCAGGGUAACUGUGAUGGAUAAUUCUCAUGGUAUACUUGAUGGGACUUAGAAUUGCUGAGAAGAAACACCACUGUGUAGGUCUGUGAGGGUAUUUUCACAGAGAUUUGUUUGAAGAGCCAUCCUGAUUGUGCAGAUUAUCGUUCUGUGAGGUAGGGUUCUAGACUGAGUGAAAAAGAGGAAGUGAGAAGGACAUCAUCAUUCAUCUACUUUGUUACCAACUGCAGAUAGAAUGUGACUUGAUGCCUCUCAUUCUUGUUACCUGGCAUUCCCAGCAACGCUGAGAUAGCCAUAUACUCUCAAUUGGGAGCCUAAAUGAACCCUUCUUUUUAAUUGAAAAAAAUUAUACAAUAUAAUUUUUUAAAAACAAUAUUUAUUCUCUUAUACAAGAUGGCCUUAUUGCAGCUUCCCUUCCCUCCACUAUUUACUACCCACUUCCACUAUUUACUCUACUUCUCUACCCAUCCCUUCAUCCAAAUCCACUGUCCAUCAUGUCUUCCCCCAGAAAAGAGCAGGUAUCCCAGGAACAUCAACCAAACAUGUCACUUUAAUUCCAAUGAGACAUAACCCUCAUGUCAAGACUAUAAGGCAACCCACUAUGAGGAAAGUGUUCCAAAGGAGUAGAAACACCCCACUCCCACUGUCAUACAGCUUCUACAUACCAAUAGCAACGUUUGUUGAAGAUGCUUUCUUUUUUCCAUUAUGUAUUUCUGGUUUCGUUAUCAAAACACAGGUGUCCAUAGGUGUGUGGAUUUAUGCCUGUGUCAUCAAUUCAAUUCCAU